GGCGAACGCUGGCGGCGUGCUUAACACAUGCAAGUCGAACGGACAGGCCCUGCUUUUGUGGGGUGCUCGAGUGGCGAACGGGUGAGUAAAACGUGAGUAACCUGCCCUUGACUUUGGGAUAACUUCAGGAAACUGGGGCUCAUACCGGAUAGGAGCUCCUGCUGCAUGGUGGGGGUUGGAAAGUUGCGGCGGUUGGGGAUGGACUCGCAGCUUCUCAGCUUGUUGGUGGGGUAGUGGCUUACCAAGGCUGUGACGGGUAGCCGGCCUGAGAGGGUGACCGGCCACAUUGGGACUGAGAGACGGCCCAGACUCCUACGGGAGGCAGCAGGGGGGAAUAUUGCACAAUGGGCGGAAGCCUGAUGCAGCAACGCCGCGUGCGGGAUGACGGCCUUCGGGGUGUAAACCGCUGUCGCCUGUGACGAAGCGUGAGUGACGGUAAUGGGUAAAGAAGCACCGGCUAACUACGUG
rnacentral:rRNA from 1 species